GCCGCUUUAGCUCAGUUGGUAGAGCACAUCAUUCGUAAUGAUGGGGUCAACGGUUCGAGUCCGUUAAGCGGCACCA
rnacentral:tRNA from 1 species